ensembl:lncRNA
AUGUAUGGCGGAACGAAGGGGAAGGACCCGCUCCACAGUGGGACCGGUGUCUUCUACCAGGCAAUACCUGCCGUCGGGGCCGAUGGCAGAAACAUCAUGAAACUGAUUCCUGUACAAAUGGUCAAUGGACACGUUUUCAAAUCUCAAAUAAGCCCCCUCAAAACCGAUGCUACACAACCAAAAGCGUUAUCGUGGAAUAUCGCCUCAGCACCAGUUGUCUUAGUAAACAAGACUUCUUCAGUUUCUUCUGCAACAGAGCGGAUCGUCAGCGAACAGGUUUCACUCGUGGGUUCGUCCCCUUAUGAAGUCGGUUUGGAUCCUGGUAAUUCACCCAACAAGCAUCCACGACAGCAACUACAACAGAGUGUCAAAACGUUGGCAGUUGUUCCUUCAAAGGCUUCACCUGCACACAGUGGAAACUCCGUAGGACCUCCAAGUCAGCUCCCAGUCCCAGUGCAUUCUCCAGCAGCCCCCCGAAGCCGGGGCACUGAGGUUCUCCCUACAGUCCCUGCAUCAACACUGCCUGCAGGUAUCUGGAAACAGACAUUCACUUCGUCAGCCAGCUGCUGUCCAGGUUCACACUUACCCUCGUCACCAACCACAAGUACGGAUGGAGGCGUUACUCCACAAAGGGAUUCUGCACUCAAUGCGCUCAAGUUGCUUUGCAAAAUAACAAAUACGACAUCAUGCGCACCACCAUCAAAAGGAUCAAAAUCACAUUUCAAUUUAAUUCCAAAGGUUCCACAAAGCCCCAACAGCCCUAAAAAGUGGUCCAUUGAAGAUAACAGCUCAACAGCUCCAACCCUUAAUCCUUUUUAUUCGUCUGUUACUUCAAAGAUUUUGCGAGUUCUCGCAGAGAGAGGAAAUGCUGGGAAGCCCUGUGAAAUUCUUCCAAAACCAGGUCCAACUCUUGGUUCUACAAAUCCCUCCUUUGCCUCAGAGAUUCUUCGAGAAAGAGAAAAGGCCAGAAAGGACUCUGAAGUCAUCACUAAAUCUAUUACUGAGUCAGGUCCGGGGAACAGUGGAGAAGAAAAGGCCAACGUCAUAGACCCGUGCAACAGGAAGCAACCACCACAACAGAGUGUACAUUUAAUGGCCGUAACACCCUUAGCUAACGGGGGAAAUACUGGACCUCUGAAUGAUCGUCAUGUCGCUCUGACAUCUCCAACGCCCCCCAGAGGACAGUGGCCUCACACUACCCCUAAGGCACAAUUGUGGGCACUCCCAGCAUCUGAACGGCGUGCAGCUAUAAAGAAACCGACUUUUACUCCGUCAGCCACCUCCUGUCCAAGCUCAGCAUGUGCGGUCUCCAUGCCACUUAUCGCAAGUGUCAAUCAAGGUGCUCCAAGGGAUUCUGCACUUGAUACGUCUAAGUGGCUGUGCAAGACCGCAAAUAAAACAUCAACCGGUUCAGAACCAAAUUUAAAAUUAGUUCCAACGGUUCCACAAAGCCCCAACAGCCCUAUACAGUGGUCAGUUGAAGAAGGCAACUCGACAGCUCCAACUCUUGAUCCUUUUGAUUCUUCUGUGGCGUCAGAGAUUCCUCCAGUGGCUGCCGAGAGAGAGAACGCUGGGAAGCUCUGUGAGGUCGUUGGGAACUGGGUCUGCGGGUCGAGUCAGGGCAAAAACGGACAAAGACAGGAGAACCCUUUGGUAUUGUGUGAUGGAAAGCUUUUUUUUUGGGCCAAAAAUCACAUGCUGCCACAUAAAAAUGGAAAAAUGGAUCCAACCAUAGUAGCAGGAAAAAGUUACGAAUCAGACAAAGCCAUUGUAGCUUCAACCCAACAGUCAGUUCCACCUGUGGAGAAGCCGGGCCAUGGAGUCCUCCACCCAGAUCCGUGGCGCCAAGUGAUUGACCUUUGUGACGACGACGACGCUGCUCCGAACGACUCGUUUCAACAAGCAGCUUCAGUUUGUGUGCCAGCAGUCACUGUUGUGGAUGAAGACAAUGUUAUAUUUGUAUCCUACACUCCACCCAACUCUGACUCUCAAGAUUUGAGACGAAAAUUACAAAUGGCUCAAAUAGAGGAACCGGACCAGACGGCCACAAGCAAUGUAACCGAACAAGAGCGCAUGCACGGUACGCCCGGCGCUCUCAGAGAGGAGGAACUUGGCCACAGCACGUCGGUCAACGACAGCCAGCAGCCCACCUCAGCCCAACAGAUGGAGCAUGUUAACCCCAGCAACGAGGGAACCCGCUCCAGGACGGACCGAGACCCCCACAUCAUUGAGGGGUCGGAGUUCAUGGGUCGCUCCAGAGCUGAGGACAUGUUGGGUCAUUUCAAUAAAGGAGCUGAAUCUGAACAAUAUGCUAUAUCUCUGUCAAUGGACCCGCUGUUAACUGUCAAAGCCAAGAAGCUCCCCAAUCCAAGGUCAUCGUCAUGUGACACCAUCACAGAAGCCCGGAUGAUCCCUUUAAUCUUGGCAAAGUUGCACUUAAUGAGUGUCUCAAGAAGUUUUCAGCCAUUUCCCACCAAGUACCAGACAGAUGUCCCGAUGAUUCCCUUCCUCGGCAGGGAUUGAGGAUCUAAUCAGGACGCUUCAUAAAGCGAGACGUCCAGGUUGAUGUUGCCCCAGUAAAGCUGGUCAAGCUUGAUGUGACAGACCAAAAGCUUUGGGUCAGUCCAAAGCAAGUGGGCAUUGGCAUGGGAGCCACAGCUGCCCUCAAG